GUGGGGAAUAUUGGACAAUGGGCGCAAGCCUGAUCCAGCAAUGCCGCGUGAGUGAUGAAGGCCUUAGGGUUGUAAAGCUCUUUCACCGGGGAAGAUAAUGACGGUACCUACAGAAGAAGCCCCGGCUAACUUCGUGCCAGCAGCCGCGGUAAUACGAAGGGGGCUAGCGUUGUUCGGAUUUACUGGGCGUAAAGCGCACGUAGGCGGAUUGGUCAGUUAGAGGUGAAAUCCUGGAGCUCAACUCCAGAACUGCCUUUAAUACUGCCAGUCUAGAGUCCAGAAGAGGUGAGUGGAACUCCUAGUGUAGAGGUGGAAUUCGUAGAUAUUAGGAAGAACACCAGUGGCGAAGGCGGCUCACUGGUCUGGUACUGACGCUGAGGUGCGAAAGCGUGGGGAGCAAACAGGAUUAGAUACCCUUGUAGUCC
rnacentral:rRNA from 1 species